rnacentral:lncRNA from 1 species
CACUGAUCAUAAUUGUCCAUAUUUAUAAGUAUGAUGUUAUUUAAAAAUAAAAAUCAUUGACCGAUUCUUGAAAAAAAAGAAGAGAAGUUUUAUUGACCCAAUUAAUUAAAAUACUAAUUUUCAAUAACAAAAAAUAUUAAAAAAACUUAUGGUGAAAUCAAAGUGACUUAGUCAAAUAUUAGUCAAUACUUUUCCCUAAAUC